GCGGAUAUAGCUCAGCUGGUAGAGCGCUACGUUGCCAACGUCGAGGCCACGGGUUCGAAUCCCGUUAUCCGCUCCA
rnacentral:tRNA from 1 species